GGCACAAACUUGAAGUAGAAUGGUUGGGUAUGGUCAGCUGAUCCCACUAAUCUACUCCAUUUCAAGUCUGUGCUC
rfam:Haemonchus placei strain MHpl1 genome assembly, scaffold: HPLM_scaffold0001292